rnacentral:rRNA from 1 species
GAUGAACGCUAGCGGCAGGCUUAAUACAUGCAAGUCGAACGGCAGCGGGUCCAGCAAUGGAUGCCGGCGAGUGGCGCACGGGUGCGUAACACGUAUGCAACCUACCUUUAACCGGGACAUAACCUCGAGAAAUCGUGGCUAAUAUUCCAUAAUAUCUUUGAAUCGCAUGGUUUGAAGAUCAAAAUUCCGAUGGUUUUAGAUGGGCAUGCGCGGACAUUAGCUAGUUGGUGAGGUAAUGGCUCACCAAGGCUACGAUGUUUAGGGGGUCUGAGGUGAUGAUCCCCCGCACUGGUAAGGAGACACGGACCAGACUCCGACGGGAGGCAGCAGUAAGGAAUAUUGGGCAAUGGGCGCAAGCCUGACCCAGCCAUGCCGCGUGCAGGAUGACAGCCCUACGGGUUGUAAACUGCUUUUAUACGGGAAAAAACCCUCUGACGUGUCAGAGGCUGAUGGUACCGUAAGAAUAAGCAUCGGCUAACUCCGUGCCAGCAGCCGCGGUAA